UUCUCCUCUAAAACUCAGUUCUCUUUCCACCUCUGGUACUACUCACUAGUUCAAUAUCACCAAUCAGCAGUGGACAUGGAAGGGAGAAUGUGGAGCUGGGUUGGGGAGCCUCACAAAAAGGGCCCACCAAAUUCUCCAGGAGACUUUCCUCCUCCUCCUCCUUCUCCUCCAGAAAAAUGGCAAGUCACCCGAGUCAGAGAUGUGCCUGGAGGGGAGCGUGGAGCAAGGGGAAUUAAAGCACCCCAAAACUUCAGUAAGACCCAGGUCCUGAUCUGAACAUUAGUGAUGCCUCCAAGCUUGCUCUACCUACUAAAAACUGAAUGUGACCACUGAACGGGUACCCAACUGCCCCUAGGCUGAGGAGCAAUAGGACCUAAUGACUCACUCUGCACUUGCCAAGAGGCUGUGGAAGAACACAACAUCAACAACAGGCAGAAGUGUGCAAAGCGACGAACUCCUUUCUAAAGGAAGGGUCUCACUAAGUUGCCCAGGCCAACCUCAAAUUUGUGAUCCACCUACCUCAGCCGCCCAAGUGGCUGGGAGACUACCAUGCCCAUCUAAGAACCUCCACCGAGAGGUUGGCGAUUCCCGCGUCUAGAUCCCUUCUACUAAGCGGUGCCUUCCCUACCAAAAGGAUAGUGCUUUGAAUCUUGAAUGUGGUUCUGACAGCUGCAGGACACAAAAAAAGUCAUGUGUGCUUUGUUAACUUACUGCUUCGUCAUCGAUGAAGGAGGCAUCUGGGGCAAUUUCCUGGGAGGGAACCAGAGCCGGGUCCUGUGCAGGAUAGUAGCCACCACUGUAAUAGUCCUGUGGCCGGAGGGGAAAAGAACACAUCAAGUGAAGACAUGGAGAUGAGACAAGGUUGGCCCAGAAACAGGCGCUGACAAGGUGGCCCCUCAGAUGAAGCAGCUAAAGACGCAGAUCCAAGGACCCACCCGCUAACCCACCAACAUUCCUGCACUUUCUGAUCUGAACUAUCCAGACAGAUGGGAGGUUUUUAGGGAAGGACAGCAAGAAAUAAAGACAUUCUCUCCUCCUUCAA